GACGAACCGUGCGAACGUUGUUCGGAAUCACUGGGCUUAAAGGGCGCGUAGGCGGGUGUGCAAGUCUGCGGUGAAAGCCCCCAGCUUAACUGGGGAAGUGCCGUGGAUACUGCUCAUCUUGAGGAGGGUAGGGGCAUCUGGAACAUUGGGUGGAGCGGUGAAAUGCGUUGAUAUCCAAUGGAACUCCGGUGGCGAAGGCGAGGUGCUGGACCCUUUCUGACGCUGAUGCGCGAAAGCCAGGGGAG
rnacentral:rRNA from 1 species